rnacentral:ncRNA from 1 species
GACGAUAUGGUGUCGGGAGGCAGGUCUCCUGGCUCGCGGGUCGUUGCGAUCGGUCCGUCUUCCCGGGGCACCCCAGUGACUGCGAUGAACUUCACAUCGCGAUGGACCGCCGCUCUCCGCUCACAGUUGCGGGGGCAGCGCCGGAUUUGCCCGCAAGGGCGCACCGGCUUCCCGUCUUAGCUCCGGCAGGACAGCCCACCGAAGAACCUCGACACAGUAUCAAAAU